rnacentral:rRNA from 1 species
UGGGGAAUAUUGCACAAUGGGCGCAAGCCUGAUGCAGCCAUGCCGCGUGUAUGAAGAAGGCCUUCGGGUUGUAAAGUACUUUCAGCGGGGAGGAAGGGAGUAAAGUUAAUACCUUUGCUCAUUGACGUUACCCGCAGAAGAAGCACCGGCUAACUCCGUGCCAGCAGCCGCGGUAAUACGGAGGGUGCAAGCGUUAAUCGGAAUUACUGGGCGUCAAGCGCACGCAGGCGGUUUGUUAAGUCAGAUGUGAAAUCCCCGGGCUCAACCUGGGAACUGCAUCUGAUACUGGCAAGCUUGAGUCUCGUAGAGGGGGGUAGAAUUCCAGGUGUAGCGGUGAAAUGCGUAGAGAUCUGGAGGAAUACCGGUGGCGAAGGCGGCCCCCUGGACGAAGUCUGACGCUCAGGUGCGAAAGCGUGGGGAGCAAACAGG